rnacentral:rRNA from 1 species
UACGUAGGUGACAAGCGUUGUCCGGAUUUACUGGGCGUAAAGCGCGCGCAGGCGGCCGUUUAAGUCGGGGGUGAAAGCCCCCGGCUCAACUGGGGAGGGUCAUUCGAUACUGAUCGACUCGAAGGCAGGAGAGGGUAGUGGAAUUCCCGGUGUAGUGGUGAAAUGCGUAGAUAUCGGGAGGAACACCAGUGGCGAAGGCGACUACCUGGCCUGUUCUUGACGCUGAGGCGCGAAAGCUAGGGGAGCAAACGGG